GAUGAAGAACGUAGCGAAAUGCGAUACUUGGUGUGAAUUGCAGAAUCCCGUGAACCAUCGAGUCUUUGAACGCAAGUUGCGCCCGAAGCCAUUAGGCCGAGGGCACGCCUGCCUGGGCGUCACACGUCGUUGCCCCCCCAUCUACUCCUUCGGGAUUGCGGGGGGCGGAUGAUGGCCUCCCGUGCGCCUCGUCGCGCGGUUGGCAUAAAUACCAAGUCCUCGGCGACGCACGCCACGACAAUCGGUGGUUGCGAAACCUCGGUUGCCCGUCGUGUGCGGUCGUCGCGCAUCGAGGGCUCGAAAAAAUUGCCGGGCUCCGGCUCGGCUUUCAACGCGACCCCAGGUCAGGCGGGGUUACCCGCUGAAUUUAAGCAUAUCAAUAAGCGGAGG
rnacentral:misc_RNA from 1 species